UGGGGAAUUUUGGACAAUGGGCGAAAGCCUGAUCCAGCAAUGCCGCGUGUGUGAAGAAGGCCUUCGGGUUGUAAAGCACUUUUGUCCGGAAAGAAAUCCUUGGCUCUAAUACAGUCGGGGGAUGACGGUACCGGAAGAAUAAGCACCGGCUAACUACGUGCCAGCAGCCGCGGUAAUACGUAGGGUGCAAGCGUUAAUCGGAAUUACUGGGCGUAAAGCGUGCGCAGGCGGUUUGCUAAGACCGAUGUGAAAUCCCCGGGCUCAACCUGGGAACUGCAUUGGUGACUGGCAGGCUAGAGUAUGGCAGAGGGGGGUAGAAUUCCACGUGUAGCAGUGAAAUGCGUAGAGAUGUGGAGGAAUACCGAUGGCGAAGGCAGCCCCCUGGCCAAGUACUGACGCUCAUGCACGAAAGCGUGGGGAGCAAACNGGAUUAAUACCCUGGUAGUCCACGCCCUAAACGAUGUCAACUAGUUGUUGGGGAUUCAUUUUCCUUAGUAACGUAGCUAACGCGUGAAGUUGACCGCCUGGGGAGUACGGUCGCAAGAUUAAAACUCAAAUAAUUGAC
rnacentral:rRNA from 1 species